rnacentral:lncRNA from 1 species
CUACAAGGACUCCAUUACAUUGUGGGAAAUUAAAGUCAUCACUCCACGUAGACGAGUCAUAGCAGGCUACAGGGACUCCAUUACAAUGCGAGACAUUUCCCCGAAGGGACAGACACAACAGCAAAGAAGGAUACAUGCCGGUCAACCAAUGUAUCCGGAGCAGUAGCAAGCUACCAUGGCUCGGUGGAAUCACAAAGGGGCAUUUCUUUGUAAAGAGUACUACUAAAGGUGCACAACUAGGUGUCGAAUCCCAUACAUAUCGCAGCACAUCACACGUACGCAUGACGUACUGAAUAUGCAUAGAUACAACAAUGGCAUCACAACAUAACCAUACAACAUCACAACAUUUAUUUAGAAGCCUCAGAGGAGCCUUGCAUUAUAUGUUCAUACAGGUAGGGGUCACAUGACCCGACACUCAAGUCAUACACACAAAGUCAUACAAGCCAAGCGGAAGCUUAAAGCUGUCUGAGUAUAGACAGAUGAAAGGUAAAAGGCAUAAAGCCUGACUAUCUAUAGUUCCCUUCCGAAGGGGCCAGGUCAUAGCUAUGACACCA